rnacentral:rRNA from 1 species
CCUACGGGUGGCAGCAGUGGGGAAUAUUGCACAAUGGGGGAAACCCUGACGCAGCGACGCCGCGUGAGGGAAGAAGUAUUUCGGUAUGUAAAGCUCUAUCAGCAGGGAAGAAGCAAGACGGUACCUGACUAAGAAGCCCCGGCUAACUACGUGCCAGCAGCCGCGGUAAUUCGCAGGGGGCAAGCGUUAUCCGGAUUUACUGGGGUUAAAGGGAGGGUAGACGGUAUGGCAAGGCUGACGUGAAAGCCCAGGGCUUAAACCCGGGACUGCUUUUGAAACUGUUAGACUAGAGGGGUGGAGAGGUAAGUGGAAUUCCUAGUGUAGCGGUGAAAUGCGUAGAUAGUAGGAGGAACACCAGUGGCGAAGGCGGCUUACUGGACAGUAACUGACGUUGAGGCUCGAAAGCGUGGGGAGCAAACAGGAUUAGAUACCCUAGUAGUC